UUUGUUUUCUAAUUUAGGAUAUCACGUUUCUCUAAAUACACAUGUAACAAUUCAACUUUGUUCCUCAAUUAAAACAGUGCAAUAUCAAUGAACUUGAUUUAACUAGAAUUUCUUGAUUUAAUUCCCAAGACUUACUCGUACUAAGGUUUUCAUAUAAAAAGUCAUUUGUAGUAACAUAAGUAAAAUACACAUUACAACUCUUAAUUCUUGGUAUCACCCAUCAGAGCGAGGUUUCUCCCAAACUUGAACUUCAAGACUCAUUAACCUGUAAUAACUGCAAUUUCGCAAACGCAUGACCCAUCCAGUCAAACACAAACAACGAAGGAGGUGAGUUUUGAAAUCAUGUUGAUAGUAUAAUAUAAAUAAGAGGAACACACAAUUAAUCAUCAAUAAACUGUAUCAUUACACAAACAUUUUUCAAGGAAAAACAUCACAUUAUAUACUCAAAAUCAAGGAAAAUCAAUACACUUCACUGUAACAUCAAAUCAUCGCAGAAAUUAUUAUCGCACACAAUACAUAUUAAUCACAACAAAACAAUCACAAGAAAAUGCAAUGAUAUGCAUGAGCUUAGACUCUACUUCACAAUGUGGUACCAUUCUAACUCUGAAGUACUUGGUUAGGAGGCUUGAUACUAUGCCACCAUCUAGGUGGGCGGACAAUUCAAAUUGGCUCUGUCCUAGAUCCCUUCAACUCAACCCGAGACACAUAUAUGCGACAGUCGAGGUAAACAUGUGUUGCGUGGUAGCUCCCGACAUUUGGAGUGCUACCUCCAAAUCACCUAGGAAUUCCCCACCCUAAUACCUCCAAGGUCUAACAAUCUUGCCUUAAGGCUCAACAGCAGACCGCCACGAUUAGGCUCAUUCAGUUGUACUUCCCCGAAAUCACUAGGCUAGUCAGGCCCUACCUAUAUGAUGACAAAAUAAUCUAUACUUCACAAAUUCUCAAUAUUUAUUUUCUCCCCUCGUUAGCUUAGACUACUCCAUUAAGGGCGUCAUCUUUAGGAAUCAUCACUUAAUACCUCCAAGGUCUAACAAUCUUGCCUUAAGGCUCAACAGCAGACCGCCACGAUUAGGCUCAUUCAGUUGUACUUCCCCGAAAUCACUAGGCUAGUCAGGCCCUACCUAUAUGAUGACAAAAUAAUCUAUACUUCACAAAUUCUCAAUAUUUAUUUUCUCCCCUCGUUAGCUUAGACUACUCCAUUAAGGGCGUCAUCUUUAGGAAUCAUCACUAUUUCAUCAGUCAUCACUAUCUCAUCACAAUUUUAUAACAUCAUUAAUCAUACAUAAUCAUCAUAUAAACUCAUCAGAGUUUUUUAAUAUCACUAUCAUCAAUCAAAAAUCAUCAUUAUCAUCAUGUAAACAUAUAUCAUACCAUGCAUCCAUCUUUUAUUAUCACAUCACAUAAAUUUGUCUAAUCAAACAUAUGCACAUAAUUCCACUCGACAUCCAACAUCACAAUAAUGGCAAAUAUCAACUGCCACACAAUUAUCAAGAAUUAAAUCAAUCAACACAUUAUAAACAUUUCUAAUUUCACAUUUUAAUCUCACAAUUGUCAUAUUUCACAUUAAUCAAUUUAUCUCUAAAUGGGCUACUACCGUACGUAGCAAGCCUUAGAUGAAUCGUUGGGAAAUACAGUUUUUUUCGUUCAUCUCACAAUAUAUUAUAUUCAUGAAUUCAAACGCUCUCUCACCCCUUGUCUUAUUUCGACGCUUUAUCAAACCCAUAAAUCAAUGAGAGUUUUCAACGACAACUGCAAAUUGACAACGUAAAGCACACGAAUCCGAAGAUCGAGAUGCGACUGAAAAAUUAUGCGGAGCAUAAAAAUCAAUAUUAAAUAAUUAAUAAUAAUUUUUUGAGCAAAAAUGGAGUCAAAACGACGAGAAAAAAACUGCAGAAAAUAUCUCACCGACUCUUCGGAGCGCCAGAAGGGUCCGACGUCAACUUCACCGAAAAUACAAAUGAGUAGUGUUUCGUGAAGGUUUCGACGAGAGAAAUUCAAAAACGAUGUUAGUUUUUUGAGACGACAAACAUGGUGACCGGAAUCGGCCAAAAACAGCUCGGCCAAGGAAUAGAACGGAGCUGUUUGUGAAAAAACGGAGCAACGAUUGAUAAAGUUGAUGCCAAAAAUGGAUUCAGUUGUCGAUUUUGUGUGGGAUAGAGGUUGAGAUCGAUUCAAAUGGCAAAGAAUUGAUAACAGGAAAUUUGAGAGAAAAAUGUUUUCCUUGAGUACAGUCGUGCGUUUCAGCGUGAACUCUUGGGCAACUUUGUUUUUUAUUUUUUUAUUUUUAAAUGUAGAUGGAAGGGUGCGAAUAGCAAAGACUCAAAACUGGGGUGUAGAAAGCAAACACCCCAAAGGAAACAAUAGUAGAAGCAAACAACAAUGAGGGGUGUGAAAAUUGGUCUAUCCCAAACUUUAUUUUAUUUUUAAAAUGUCCCAAACAAGUUAAUUACUUGUUCUAUUCAUCCAUAAUUAAAAUAUUAAUCUCUAAAAUUCUCACAUUAAAAUAAUAAUAUUUGUCCACACUCUUUAGAAUACAAUCCAUUUUUUUUUAUAACUUUUCUAAAAUAUGUACACUAAAAUACUAUUAUUUAUAGAAAAAUAUAUAAAAUAAUAAAAUAUAAUAUUUA
rnacentral:lncRNA from 1 species